rnacentral:rRNA from 1 species
GAUGAACGCUGGCGGCGUGCCUAAUACAUGCAAGUCGAGCGAACAGACGAGGAGCUUGCUCCUCUGACGUUAGCGGCGGACGGGUGAGUAACACGUGGAUAACCUACCUAUAAGACUGGGAUAACUUCGGGAAACCGGAGCUAAUACCGGAUAAUAUAUUGAACCGCAUGGUUCAAUAGUGAAAGACGGUUUUGCUGUCACUUAUAGAUGGAUCCGCGCCGCAUUAGCUAGUUGGUAAGGUAACGGCUUACCAAGGCAACGAUGCGUAGCCGACCUGAGAGGGUGGUCGGCCACAUGGGAACUGGGACACGGUCCAGACUCCUACGGGAGGCAGCAGUAGGGAAUCUUCCGCAAUGGGCGAAAGCCUUACGGAGCAACGCCGCGUGAGUGAUGAAGGUCUUCGGAUCGUAAAACUCUGUUAUUAGGGAAGAACAAAUGUGUAAGUAACUAUGCACGUCUUGACGGUACCUAAUCAGAAAGCCACGGCUAACUACGUG